rnacentral:lncRNA from 1 species
AGAUGCUUGCAGCCUGCUGAUGUGAUGUUGCUCUGUGUGGGCAGACACUUGCAGCCCUCUGAAGAGUGGAUGCUGAGGUGACACUCCAGCCUUCUGCUUUCCAGGAGCCGGGAGCCAGCGUGGUUCAUCGAGACUCUAUCUCCCCAUCACUACUGGACUUGGGCCAUGCUGGCAAUCCACAGACUUCGCACACAUUCUUGCAGUGGUGGUUGAAGAGGGCUGGAGGUGCUGCCUCACAUCUCAACAGCAUGAGGCCCCUGUUUGGAGGAGAGGGAAAUAGGUGUGGCACAAAAAGUUAUCGCCAACCAGAGACACACAGAAGGGAUGUGUCCAUGCAUUCUAUCAAGGAGAGGUCCCUGUGCCUGUUGGAUUCCCACUGCAAUGGUUUAACUGAAGCAUUUUGUGGUGUCAGAAGGGGAAGCUUUAACUGGUAAAGGUGUGCUCUAUUAGAAGAAAUUGUCUGAGGCUAGAGAAAUCACAGCUAGCUCUGAAUUUCUCCUCUCUAAUUGUAUGCAUAUUGGAAGAGUUAUGGAGGCUGGGCAAAACAAGUAUGGAUGCUUCAUUUUGGGCUUAUCUGUCUAGCAGAGCAGUGAUCUCAGGCAUAGAGUUCAUGCAAUUAAAUCUGUAUAAAAAGCAAGAAGCUCAUUUAGGGUCUGCUGGUGUUUUAGGCCUGAAACCUUGCUGUCAUCAAACUGUUUGCUCUAACAAAUAGAACAAUAGUAAACUAUUUUGGACUGUAGACUUUUUUGCUUUGAACUACUAAGAGGAUCUAAGGUGGCAAGGAAACCAAAGUUAACCAUUGUUUGGCAGAGACCGUCUCUUCCUCAGGUGAGAGAGGACAGCAGGAGCCUCUCUGUUUUCCUAUUUCCCCAGAGGGAAACAAGGCACUCUGUCUCCACUGCUAUUUCUGCUUCUGUCUGUCUCUGGAGUUCUCCACCUUGGUUUUGGUCCUGACUUGUUAGGGAUGUAGUUCUGGUACUUUUGCUACAAGAUGUCACACAAGGUGAAACAUGCCAGUUGCUACAGCUGCUGUAGGUGGUGGCUGAAUUGCGAAAGUGGCCAUACACAGUUGCCACCUGCAGGAUGCUCAGGCUGGAGGAAGCCAGCUGGCUUGGUCCAGGAAUGCAGGAACACAGCUGCAAGGAGAACCCACUUGUCCACACCAAGGAGCUGUUGACUAUCCCACUAGGCAGAUGAUGCUCUUUUCUGCAAGCGAGUCUCCUCUUCACUGAGGUCAGAAAUAGGAGGUGCAGACGAGCACUAUACAGCCAAGGAUGGAGGUCUGCUGCCUUCACUCCGAAGGAAGUCAAGAAGGGUAAUGAAUCCAGUCUUUGAUUCAGUGGACCAAGUCUAAUUGGUGCCUGGGGACACGCCUGUGGAUUCUUCAUACUCAUGGUCUUGGCCAGUUUCCUGGGUUCCUAAGCUGUGUAGGGAAUUCUACAGGGCUCAGAUAUUAAGAUUGGAGUUGGUCAGGUGAAGCCUAUAAGCUGAGCACAGAAGCCUAGAUAAGGAAUGUUUAGUUGAGUCAGAAAAGCUGACUGGGGGCUGUAACUUGUUAUGGGAAAAAGUACUGGCAACAGAAAGAUUUUAACUGGAGUUAAAAGCACAGAUAUGAGGGACAGCUUAAAAUUUUUUAUCGGAUGCUGAAGACUAAGAACCACAAGAGGAAAAGAAUGGACUAAUCAGAGUGCAGGCAAUGGAGAAAUGCUGAAAAAAGAACACGGUACAGGUUCACUUUGCAUCAAAUGGAAGAAGCUGAUUAUACUUGGAAUGAGGAAACUAAAGUUAACAGCUGAGGGGAGGAAAAGUGCACAGAAUCUGCCAAAAGCCUGUGUGUGUUAGGAAUACUUCUUAUUUCAAAAAAUGUUUGUUUUCCUUCAUGGAAGAGGAACCUUCCAUGAAGGAAAAUAAAAAAAUAGAAGCAUAUGAAGGGCAAUAAAAGAAUGGAAGUUAAUUCCAGUGAAUACAGUUAUGAAACAUUUCUUAAGGAGAGUUAAGUGUCAUAGCAGCAGGUGGGAAAACAGCAGAAUCAGAUGUCUGAAUAAGAUAUUAAAUGUAAGUAUCUGGUUUCUCAGGUACUUAGGUGUCUAACUUCUUGCUGUUUAAACAUGCUGAUCAUAGAGCUGCUUCUGCACUCGGACUUUCUUUUUGGCUGCUGUUACACUGCCUUAAGAAUGCCCAGAAAUAAAAAAAAGGGAAAGGAAAUUUUUGUUGAUAUAAUGUGAAUGGUGAGAUGCACCAGCGAAAAAAAAAAAAAAAAA